GAUGAACGCUAGCGGCAGGCUUAACACAUGCAAGUCGAGGGGUAGAAGGAGCUUGCUCCUUUGAGACCGGCGCACGGGUGCGUAACGCGUAUGCAAUCUACCUUUUGCAGAGGGAUAGCCCAGAGAAAUUUGGAUUAAUACCUCAUAGUAUGUGAGGAUGGCAUCAUUUUCACAUUAAAGUCACAACGGCAAAAGAUGAGCAUGCGUCCCAUUAGCUAGUUGGUAAGGUAACGGCUUACCAAGGCUACGAUGGGUAGGGUCCUGAGAGGGAGAUCCCCCACACUGGUACUGAGACACGGACCGA
rnacentral:rRNA from 1 species